GGACGAACGCUGGCGGCGUGCCUAACACAUGCAAGUCGAGCGAGGAGAUCCUUCGGGAUGAUCCUAGCGGCGGACGGGUGAGUAACACGCGGGCAACCUGCCUCAUAGAGAGGAAUAGCCUUCCGAAAGGGAGAUUAAUACCUCAUAACAUUGCAGUUUCGCAUGGAACAGCAAUUAAAGGAGCAAUCCGCUAUGAGAUGGGCCCGCGGCGCAUUAGCUAGUUGGUGAGGUAACGGCUCACCAAGGCGACGAUGCGUAGCCGACCUGAGAGGGUGAUCGGCCACAUUGGGACUGAGACACGGCCCAGACUCCUACGGGAGGCAGCAGUGGGGAAUAUUGCACAAUGGGGGAAACCCUGAUGCCAGCAACGCCGCGUGAGUGAUGACGGCCUUCGGGUUGUAAAGCUCUGUCUUCAGGGACGAUAAUGACGGUACCUGAGGAGGAAGCCACGGCUAACUACGUGCCAGCCGCCGC
rnacentral:rRNA from 1 species